rnacentral:rRNA from 1 species
GACGAACGCUGGCGGCGUGCCUAAUACAUGCAAGUAGAACGCUGAAGCGAGGAGCUUGCUCUUCUUGGAUGAGUUGCGAACGGGUGAGUAACGCGUAGGUAACCUGCCUUGUAGCGGGGGAUAACUAUUGGAAACGAUAGCUAAUACCGCAUAACAAUGGAUGACACAUGUCAUUUAUUUGAAAGGGGCAAUUGCUCCACUACAAGAUGGACCUGCGUUGUAUUAGCUAGUAGGUGAGGUAACGGCUCACCUAGGCGACGAUACAUAGCCGACCUGAGAGGGUGAUCGGCCACACUGGGACUGAGACACGGCCCAGACUCCUACGGGAGGCAGCAGUAGGGAAUCUUCGGCAAUGGGGGCAACCCUGACCGAGCAACGCCGCGUGAGUGAAGAAGGUUUUCGGAUCGUAAAGCUCUGUUGUAAGUCAAGAACGAGUGUGAGAGUGGAAAGUUCACACUGUGACGGUAGCUUACCAGAAAGAGACGGCUAACUACGUG